UUAUAUUCUUGCUCAAAAAUCCUUCUUUAGGAAUUAAAUCCUCUCUAUCAAAAAAUACCUCUAUAUCGAGAAACCGAUCCCAAAACCAAAACCUCAUAGUAGUAUUAUUUAUCAUUCCGUCAUAAUUUUUUUAUUUUAUUUUUUUACAUACAUAUCCAUUAUAGAUUCCGAUUAAUAUAUAUGGUAUAAAAAUCUUUCUCUAAAAUUAAAUCCUUUCGAUAACGAAAAUCCAAACACUAAAUCUCAUAUUACUUAUCACUCCGUCAUAAUUUUUCUAUUAUAUUUAUUCAUUACAGAUUUCGAAAACAUCUCUGUACGAUAACUCGAUCCACCAUACCCUUUCUCUUUUUUUAUAUAUAUACUACUAAUUACCGAUCUGAUUAAUUUAUAUUUCUGCUUGAAAAUCUUUCUUCAAAAAACAAAUUUAUACUGAGAGUUCCAGAAUCUCAAAUUACUUAUCACUCCGUCG
rnacentral:lncRNA from 1 species